UUUAACAUGAAAAUUAAAUCACUUUUUUAUUAAUUUCAACAAAGAAUAUUCAUAACAAAAUUUUUUGGAAAACCAAUUACGUCAAGGAAAUUUAUGCCACAUGUUUAAACUGCAAAUCCACUGAACUGCAGUCAUUAAAGAAUUAGAUUGUGUCGUGAAAACUGGCAUGGGGUUGUGAGAUCUUUCCAGGUACACGCAGAAACCAGAGGAUAAAGACCUGAGGGAAAUAAGUAAUCUAUGAAUUGAUUUAAGUAUAAUUAUAAAUGAAUAUAUAUGUGCACAUAUAAACACUGAAUGAUUUUCUGACAUAUACUCUUGUAUUUUAAUCUGUAAGGCUGAUAAAAACAUGAUGAUUAUGGUUGAUAAUUAUGUAUGAGAUUAACAUCCAUGAUUGAUAAGUAAUAAUGGAUUAUAGGGAUGUGUUGAUUUAAAUGUGUUGACCCAAACAUAUGAUGAAUGUAAAAGAUGAUUAAAUGUAAUGAUCUAAACAGAUGGAAUUAAAGUGAUGGGUGAGGCCCUAUUCUCAGGCUGUGUCAUAAUGGGCGAGCUGAGCAGAAGCAGAGACUCAAGGGACUUGCAAGGAAGUACAAACAGAUGGCCCUACAGAAAAGGGGAAGUUCACAUGAGGUUAGCGCUGUGAGUCAUACAAGGGCUGAUGGUUGGGAAAGGGUGGGACUUUCCACCGACUCAUCGAACAUGCGAGAAGUCACGUACACCGUCUCCCCCAUACACAACCAUGGGCUGAGAUGGUAUAAAAGACGGCAGAAGGAGGAAGAGAGCGUUCUUAGUCCCCGGUGCCAAGACGACUCAACAAGAGGACGCAGAGGAAACAUCAGCAGAGGACCGCACCCUGGAGCCACGGGGAAAUUGAGACUUCGCACCGCUAAGAAGGGACAAGAUCCUUCAGCCCCAGCCCUGGCUCCUGAUUCCACCGCCGACUCUGCCUCAACCCAACGAUCUCAAACCAACCGCAACAGACUUGGAGAAAAGACAAAGAUCCCAGGAGGGAUGAAGAAUUGGAUGUUUGAAGGACAAGGACCAAUUCUGCUUUGCUUCUAUUCUAAAGAGGAUUUUUCCACACAAAGACAAAGAUUCUGAACCAAGGAAUUAAAGACUUUUGUUGCCAAGAUCAACUGCCAUCUGGGUAUGAGUCGAAUUGCUCCCCAAAAGCCUCUCUCAGUUUAUUAGUGACACAGGUCAGGGAAGGAAGUUAGGAUAAUGUGGUUGGGUUAUUUUGAUUUAGUAUUGUAAUUUUUGAUAAUUAAUCUGUAUGUCACUUGCUGCUUAAUAAAUAUAUCUUUAUAAAAUUUUA